UCUUAAAAAAAUCAUCUAUUUUUACCAUUAAAAACCAGUGUGAGUAACAUAAUAAUCAAACAGUUACACAUAGCGUGUCAUGUGUACCUCAUUCUGAUGUAUAAAAACUAGUUUUUAACAAUAGAAAUAGAUGGAAUUUUUAACA
rfam:Gossypium raimondii Chr01_contig_244, whole genome shotgun sequence.